UGCCAGCCGCCGCGGUAACACGAACCGUACAAACGUUAUUCGGAAUCACUGGGCUUAAAGAGUGCGUAGGCGGCUUGGCAGGUUGGGUGUGAAAUCCCUCGGCUCAACCGAGGAAUUGCGCUCAAAACCGCCAAGCUUGAGUGAGAUAGGGGAGAGCGGAACUGAUGGUGGAGCGGUGAAAUGCGUUGAUAUCAUCAGGAACACCGGUGGCGAAGGCGGCUCUCUGGAUCUUUACUGACGCUGAGGCACGAAAGCUAGGGGAGCGAACGGGAUUAGAUA
rnacentral:rRNA from 1 species